rnacentral:antisense_RNA from 2 species
CGCAACGGGCGGGUGGUGGCGAGGGGGCCACAAGGCUCGCCGGCUUGUCAAAACACCGGUCUCUCAACCUCGCUACGUGCCCGCCCACCCGU